UACUACGGCCAUGCCACCCUGAACAAGCCCAAUGCCGUCUGAUCUUGGAAGCUAAGCAGGGUCAGGCUUGGUUAGUACUUGGAUGGGAGACCACCUAGGAAGACCAGGUGCUAUAGACG
rnacentral:rRNA from 1 species